CACGUAGGGCGCAAGCGUUGUCCGGAAUUAUUGGGCGUAAAGAGCUCGUAGGUGGUUUGUUACGUCCGCUGUGAAAUCCUAGGGCUUAACCCUGGGCUUGCAGUGGAUACGGGCAGACUAGAGGUAGGUAGGGGAGAAUGGAAUUCCUGGUGUAGCGGUGAAAUGCGCAGAUAUCAGGAGGAACACCGGUGGCGAAGGCGGUUCUCUGGGCCUUACCUGACGCUCAGGUGCGAAAGCUAGGGGAGCGAACAGG
rnacentral:rRNA from 1 species